AAAUUUUAUUUUAUAUAUUUUGUAUUUUCAUUUUUUAUUUUUUUCUUGCUUUUUCUUAAAUCUUUUUGUUUGCACUUUUUUUUUAUUUCUUCUUUAUAAUUUUAAAACCUCAAACUUCUUUUUUUGCGCACAUUCUUUUUAUUUAUUUUUCAUCUUUCGUAUUUUAUAUCUUUUUCCUUUAUUUGUUGUAUAUAUUUUUAUAAUUUUUCAUUAAUCCUUUUUUUCUUUUUCUUUUAACUUAUUUGUUGAUUUACUUUCAUUUUUUUUCUUUCUAUUAAAAUUCUCUAUUUUUUUCUUGCUUUUUAUAUAUUUUGUUUUUUUAUUUUUUUUUCACUUUUUUUUAUUUCUUCUUUACAAUUUUAAAACCUCAAACUUCUUUUUUUGUGCACUUCCUUUUGGUUUUAUUUUAUUUUUUUCUUUAAACUAAAAGUUUUUUCUAUUUUAUAUGUCAAAUUCUUAUUCAUUUUGUCUUUUUAUAUUCUUUUGAUUUGCUAAUUUUUUAUUUUCUUGCUUUUUUAUCUUUUUCCUUUUUUGGUAUUUUAUUUAUUUUUUUCCUUUAUAUUACUAUUUUUUAUUUGUUUUUUAUUCAUUUUUUAAAAAAUUUUAUAAAAUUAAAAAAAAUUUUAUUUUUCGAAUCUUUUUUAUUUUUUCAUUUUCAUUUUUUUUGUUCUAUGUUCUAAUUUUUCAAUAACUUUUUCCCUUUGAAAUUUUCUUUCUUUUGCUUCUUUUUUUUCAUAUGCUUUCAGUUUUACUUGUUUUAAUUUUUUCGUUGUUUUAAAAUUUUUUACAUUUCUUUUUUCUUUUUUUAUUCCAAAUCUUUUGUCUUUUCAUUUUUAUUCUUUUCUUAUUUUUUCACAAAUUUCCUUUCAUUUCUUAUUUGCAUUUUUAAAUUAUUAGACUUUUUUUGUGCACUUUCUUUUUGUUUUUAUUUAUAUUUUUUAUUAACUUUUAUUUUAAUUUUUAUCUUUGAUUUUUUAUAUCUUUUUCCUAUAUUUGUUAUAUUUUUGUUGUUUUUCUUUGUAUAUUCUGAACUAAAAGUUUUUUCUAUUUUGUAUUUGAAAUUUUUAUUCAUUUUGUCUUUUUCGCUAAUUUUUAUUAUCUACUCCUAUUUUAUUGUAUUUUUGUUCAUCUUUUUUUUGGUUUAUUUUUUUAUUUUAUCAUUGUUGGUUAUUUUCUAUUGCAUUUUUAUAAUUUUUCUUUAACUUUUUCUCCUUU
rnacentral:lncRNA from 1 species